CUCCACCCCCGGGGACGAGAAACAGAAAGAUAAGUGACACUCUCAAUGCCACACAGCACAGGGAUUUAGGAGAGAAAUGGUUAAGCAGAGCUUUUUAGAAAAUGUGAGACUAGAUUUGGGUCUCUAAGGUAUUAAUAGAACGAAUGGAGGGACAAACGGGUGGGGAGAUCGAUGACACCAUGCCCCACCCCUCCACAAAGGCGCAAGGCCCCGUCCCUUGGAGCCUCUGAACCCCCAGCUUCACUUGGCAAGAGGGACUCAGUCCGUGCGAUUGAGGAUAUAAACCUUGUGAUGGAAAUGUUAUUUUGGAUUAUUUAAAGCCACGAGUCCUAAAGAGAAAGCAGAAAGCCUUUCCCGACUGGGUCAGAAAGAUGAGAGGGGAGAAAAAGAGGGAGAAAUUCAAAGGGUGAGAGCCUAGACUUUGAAGAGGGAGGAAGGGGGCCACGCGUCAAGAUGUGGGUGGCCUCUCGAAGCCGAGGAACGGCCCUCAGCUGACAGCUGGCAAGAGAAGAGAGGUCAGCGAGGACCGCAGUCCUGCAGACACCUUGAUUUCAUCUGCUGAGACCCACGUCAGACCCAUGGCCACGGAAG
rnacentral:lncRNA from 1 species